UUCUUGUGCGCCCAACAACAGGGAUAAGUCCUGCCUAUUUCAACGGUGAUGCCUGUACCAAUGCUCGACAUUAACCUAACAUUCGCAGGCUAUUGGAAAACGCAGGCCCUGACAUUCGCAGGCUACUAGAAAAUGCAUUCCUUUAGAAAAUGCAUGCCUCUCUCUCUCUAUACCGGAAAACGCAAGCUUCUCUCUCUACUGAAAAACAGAGGCCUUUCUCUACCAGAAGCAAGCCUCUCUCUCUCUACUGGAAAACAUAGGUCUCUCCUCUCAACUGGAAAAUGCAGGCCUCUCUCUCUAUUUCAGAGUAAAGCUCCCUCCUCACAGUAGCAUGCAUCUCUCUCUCUACUUCAGAGCAAAGCCCUCUCUCACAUCCUGUCUCUCUCACGCCAGGACCAUAGACGCAUGCCUCUCUCUCUACUUCAGAGCAUUAGAUUGAUCCUCACAGACGCAUGCCUCUCAUCUCAUCCUCUUUCUUUCUCAUGCCAAGACCACAGGAAUAUCAGUAUUGUAAAUUCUUGGGGUGUGACGUGCAUGCAUGCCAUAACAUCCUUGAGUCUCCUCGAGCACGAACAAAGGGAGACCUACCAAUGAUAGAUAUAUACUUCGGGCAGAGAUAGAGGUAGAGAAAGCGAAAGCGAAAGCAAAAGCAAAAGAGAAGGAAGUUACCCGAAAGUGCACAGUUUUCAAAGGGAGUGAACAUGACAUAAGGAAUUGCUCAGCUGUCUCACGUUCAAUGUUAAAUGUCAAUAAAAGAUGUACAGAUGGGUCAUGUGAGAAUGUGGAACACGAGUAAUGGUGACAUACACUUGUUGAUCUAGUGCAAGAAUUGUGGCAAGCAUUGGAGAAUGGACGUCGUUGUUCACUCAUGUGCAAUUAGAAGUGGGCUGGAAAACUAUGUGGCUUAUGUCAAAAGUCAUGAUUAGCUCUUUUUGAUGAUAAGAUUGUAGCAUUAUGGCUCAUGGACAAACGUUGUGCAAGGUUUAUUGACUUGUUGGAUUCUUUCAUCUCAAUUUAGUUGUAUGUAUCUAAGUUUGUUUGUUAUAACCUGGAGGUACAACAUUGUACUUGCAACUACGUAAAAUGGCUCAAGACAAUUGUUGGAACAUUGGCAUUUA